ensembl:snoRNA SCARNA18 small Cajal body-specific RNA 18
UUGCAUGUGGAAAUGUCUGCUCCUCGUUCCUUUGGAAGCAGGAAUACAUCCAUAACAUGCUACAUCAAAAAAGGAGUUCUCAGGGCUGCCAACCUUACAGUAGAGGUUGAGUAGUAGUAUAUUUCUCCUACAUAA